GCAAGUCGAGGGGUAACGAUGUCUUCGGACAGGCGACGACCGGCGCACGGGUGAGUAACACGUAUGCAACCUACCUUUAACUGGAGAAUAGCUCCGAGAAAUCGGAAUUAAUACUCCAUAAUAUCUAAUUAUCGCAUGAUUUUUAGAUUAAAGCUUCGGCGGUUAAAGAUGGGCAUGCGGGACAUUAGUUUGUUGGUGAGGUAACGGCUCACCAAGACUACGAUGUCUAUGGGGUCUUAAAGGAUGGUC
rnacentral:rRNA from 1 species